rnacentral:rRNA from 1 species
CAGUCGCGCGGUAACACAGAGGAUGCAAGCGUUAUCCGGAUUUAUUGGGCGUAAAGCGAGCGCAGGCGGUUAGAUAAGUCUGAAGUUAAAGGCUGUGGCUUAACCAUAGUACGCUUUGGAAACUGUUUAACUUGAGUGCAAGAGGGGAGAGUGGAAUUCCAUGUGUAGCGGUGAAAUGCGUAGAUAUAUGGAGGAACACCGGUGGCGAAAGCGGCUCUCUGGCUUGUAACUGACGCUGAGGCUCGAAAGCGUGGGGAGCAAACAGGAUUAGAUACCCGAGUAGUCCCUGUCUCUUAUACAC